ACCAAUAUACAGAAUAUGUUCUCUGCUCCUGACUCAUCAGCUUACAACCAACUUUUGUGACUUCUGCCGUGUGUCAGAAGAGAAAGUCAUUGGUACAUGGUGAUUCCUGCACGUGAGACUGCCUGCUACAAGGAGGGAGGCGGAGUCCAGGCGACCCAACUUGAGGAUCACCAGGAAGGCUGGAGGUGCCCUGGUCUCUCCUCUGAGUGACUUACCUUCACCGGCUUGAGCGUGGCCGAGAAGGCGUCCUGCAGGGCACAGCAAGCCAGCCUCCACAUCUCCUCCGUGAACACGGGGCCCGCUGUCACGAGGACGUACCUGCCAGGAGAAAAAAGGAAAGAAGUCUUGAAUUCAUACAUUUUAUUGUCACAAAAGGACAAAAAUCAUGCACUGGUGUUUACUAAGCACUUCUAGACAAUGCUGCUAUCUACUAAACGACUCAGCAUGAGCUGCUCUGGCACCAUAGAUACCUGAGUGGAUGAAGCUCUGAAUGUGCUCCACCACCAGCUCACAGGACAGACCGAUGGCAUGCUUGAAGUUAGCAGAGGCCACGUCCCAGUAAGAAUGGUCUUUAUGGCUACGGCGAAGCCAAAGGGACAUCACAGGAAGGAGAAGGUGAACAACUGCAUAGAUGCCAAACCCUGGUCCUGAAAAAGAAAGGUCAGCAUCAGAAUUGUGAUCUUAGCACCUCUCCUGCAACAGAAUGGCAGCGCCAAGUGACGGCAGAGAGCUUCCCACCUCUUUCCUCUUUCGCAGGAGCUCCCCAUUCUGAGAAGGAGCAAGGAAAAAGAAUUUACCACUGAUUGGGAAAUAUAUGGUCUUUGGUGACAUUUUUCUUUUUUGUUUCUGCAUGAUUUUAAUUACGUAAUACGUAAAUAUACUCGUUAAAAAUUCAAACAAUACUGAUAAAGCUAAAGGAUCACUUGAUCAAUUCCUUAGUCCCCAUAAACAUACAAAUACAUAUACACAUAUAAGAAAAAGUUCACCCUUUGAACUCGAUGUAUAUUUAUAUGAAACUAAGAGUACAUAUAUUUAUAAGAAUCAGAGAAAUAGAGGUUUUUUUAAAUUACUUUUAUAUAAAUGGGAUAAGGUAAACCUGGGUCUGCAUGUUGAUUUCUUGCCCAUAACAGUUACAAGUUAGAGAUCAUUCUGUGUCAGCAAAUUAGAUAUUCCUCAUUUUUAUUACCACAUACUGUUCCAAACUAUUCAAACUGUAUAUGCAUUAGUUUACUUAUCCAUUUCCUUACUGAUGGAAAUUUAAGAUGUUUCUAUAUUUUGCUUUAUGAACAACACUGUAAUAAAAAUAUUUGCGGAAACGUUGAUGGAUUUUUAAAAUUCUGACUACACAAGCAAGGUAUCCUUUUCAUAAUAAACACAGAAAACACAUGAGAGUAUAAAGAAGAAGAAAAUAAUAUUUUGAUGUAUUUCGUUCUAGUACUUUUUGAAUGUAUUAUCUUUGGGUGUAUGUGUAUAUUUAUAAAUGCUUCUCAUAAAGUUGAGAUUGUACUCCACGCUAUAUAUAUUUUAACAUAAUGCCCUGUAAACAAUUAUUGAUGUCAUUAAAUAUUAUUCACAGAUAUUCAUUUUAA